rnacentral:rRNA from 1 species
GAUGAACGCUGGCGGCGUGCCUAAUACAUGCAAGUCGAACGCGCAGCGAGAGGUGCUUGCACCUUUCAAGCGAGUGGCGAACGGGUGAGUAACACGUGGAUAACCUGCCUCAAGGCUGGGGAUAACAUUUGGAAACAGAUGCUAAUACCGAAUAAAACUUAGUAUCGCAUGAUAUAAAGUUAAAAGGCGCUACGGCGUCACCUAGAGAUGGAUCCGCGGUGCAUUAGUUAGUUGGUGGGGUAAAGGCUUACCAAGACAAUGAUGCAUAGCCGGGUUGAGAGACGGAUCGGCCACAUUGGGACUGAGAGCCGGCCCAAACUCCUACGGGAGGCUGCAGUAGGGAAUCUUCCACAAUGGGCGCAAGCCUGAUGGAGCAACGCCGCGUGUGUGAUGAAGGCUUUCGGGUCGUAAAGCACUGUUGUAUGGGAAGAAAUGCUAAAAUAGGGAAUGAUUUUAGUUUGACGGUACCAUACCAGAAAGGGACGGCUAAAUACGUGCCAGCAGCCGCGGUAA